UACGUAGGCAGCAAGCGUUGUUCGGAGUUACUGGGCGUAAAGGGUGUGUAGGCGGUUUUCUAAGUCUGGUGUGAAAUCUCCCGCUCAACUGGGAGGGUACGCCGAAAACUGGAAGGCUAGAGUGCGGGAUGGGAGAGUGGAAUUCCUGGUGUAGCGGUGAAAUGCGUAGAUAUCAGGAGGAACACCUGUGGUGUAGACGGCUCUCUGGACCGCAACUGACGCUGAGACACGAAAGCGUGGGUAGCAAACAGG
rnacentral:rRNA from 1 species